rnacentral:rRNA from 1 species
GACAGAGGGGGCAAGCGUUGCUCGGAAUCACUGGGCGUAAAGGGCGCGUAGGCGGGAUGGCAAGUCAGUCGUGAAAUCUCUCGGCUCAACCGAGAAACGUCGGCUGAUACUGCCGUUCUUGAGGGAUGCAGAGGAGACUGGAAUUCCCGGUGUAGCGGUGAAAUGUGUAGAGAUCGGGAGGAACACCGGUGGUGAAGGCGGGUCUCUGGGCAUCUCCUGACGCUGAGGCGCGAAAGCGUGGGGAGCAAACGGG